rnacentral:rRNA from 1 species
GUUUAUUGAAUAUAAAGAAAAGACGAACAGCUCAGUAACUCUUAUUUUAUUUGAUGUAUUAGGAUUAUAACUAUGUUAAAUUAUAGAUAACAAUAAUACAAUAAGAAUAAGAUCUAUCAGUUAGUUGUUAAGGUAAUGGCUUAACAAGACUAUGACGGAUAACGGUAUUACUUUGUAAUAUUCCGGAGAAGGAGCCUGAGAGAUUGCUACUAAGUCUAAGGAUUGCAGCAGGGGCGAAACUUGACCUAUGAUAUGAUAUUGAGGCAGUUAUGAGUAGUAUUUUUAAUUAUUGUAGUAUUGUAAGUAUAUACUACAAGAUAAAUCGGAGGGCAAAUCGAGUGCCAGCAGCCGCGGUAAUACUUGUUCCGAUAGUGUGUAUGAUGAUUGAUGCAGUUAAAAAGUCUGUAGUUUAUGAUUAAUAAGCAUUGUGAGGUAUAUUGUAUGGUUAGGAGAGAGAUGAAAUGUGAUAACCCUAACUGGAUGAACAGAAGCGAAAGCUAUAUACUUAAAUGUAUUAUUAGAACAAGGACGUAAGCUAGAGGAUCGAAGAUGAUUAGAUACCAUUGUAGUUCUAGCAGUAAACUAUGUUAAAUCAUAGAUACAUUUUAUAAUAUGUAUUUAUGUAAAGAAAUUAAGAUUAUAUUGACUCUGGGGAUAGUAUGAUCGCAAGAUUG